rnacentral:sRNA from 1 species
UAUUGUUAACUUCUUUUUAUUAAGAACUCUCCUUUAUUAAUUGGGACAAAGCAAACUUGCACAUGAAAAAAAUCAGAAAGAAACAAGACGUAAUUAAAAUUUUACAAACAUAGAUAUAUGACUAUUGAUUGCAUGCAUGAACCAUUGAUUGAUCAACACACACAAGUUUCAAAUUUAUUACAAUAAAACGCAAACAAUACUUUGAAAAUGAUGAGAAAGCUUUCUCUGCUUGGAUUCUCUCUUUCAUCUUUUGUUUCUCUUAUUACAAUCACCAGUACUGGUUUCGUCUUGUCUUUGUCUUCUUGUGUACAUCGUGUUCUCCUGCAAGUAUAUUAAAUAUACAUUAUAAUUAUUGACAUGCAUGCAUCAACAUAGGCUUUUAAUUAUUGAGUUAACAAGGUGUGUAGAUGUAAGUAUUGAGAGAGUAAUUACCGUGAUAGAGAUAUCUAAUAGUGGUAUGGAGGAGGAGGAGAUUUGUAGAGGUAAGGAUGGUGUGGUGGAGAGUAGUGGUGUACUGG